CGUGGGUAACCUGCCCUAUACACAUGGAUAACAUACUGAAAAGUUUACUAAUACAUGAUAAUAUAUAUUUGCGGCAUCGCAGAUAUAUCAAAGUGUUAGCGGUAUAGGAUGGACCCGCGUCUGAUUAGCUAGUUGGUGAGAUAACUGCCCACCAAGGCGACGAUCAGUAGCCGACCUGAGAGGGUGAUCGGCCACAUUGGAACUGAGACACGGUCCAA
rnacentral:rRNA from 1 species